GGCCCCUCUGAGUGGCCACCCUCGCUACCGAAAGGGCCUGAAAAGCUCCUUCUUGCUAUUGGUUUUCCCCGAACAGCUUCAAGGUCUUUCCAGAGCGUCCCGAUGACAGUAACAAAGUCACCUUCCCUGACUGCACUCUACGAGGACCUCCCACGUGAAAAGCAGGCGCAGCGUCCCAGCUUGGUCCGGAGACCACCUCCUCUCCUGCCCCAGAGUUUAUUUCCUUGGUCCGCAGUGGCUGGUUCCACUCCCCCCACAAUGCGAGAUGGCCUGAGCCCGCUGGAGAAGAGCUGCCAGACACCCUUCAAGACUCCAAGAGGAGGCCAAGCUGGUCUUUCGACCUUUGCCUCUUCUCUCUGAGAGCAGUGGCCGAGUUCUGGGGGUAUCGCCCAAGGUGGCACAGCAGUGGCCUAGGAGAAGAUGAACUUGGCAUGAUCACUCCCUAUGCUUCCCCCUCCCACCACCCUCUCUCCCGCUCUCCCCCACCACGCCCUACACACACACACCCGCCAGAGCCCUCCUUACCAAGAAACAAAGGGAGUUUACAAGAUGGGUGCCUCUUGUGCCCCAGGAACAGAGAUGGUGAGAGGAGGUUGGGGCCGUUGGUUCUGCCUGCUGGAACUGGGCGCGGUUGUGAACCCAGAGUGGGGGCCACAGUACCCCUGGCAUCCUGAGCUGGAUGACCCCUUGUUGUCGGACUGUCCGGGCACUGUGAGUGGGUAAGCAGCUCUCCGGCUGCUACUCACCAAAUGCAAGUGUCGGGGGCACCCCUGGGCUGGGGCCACGAACAUUACCUCCAGGGCUGGCCUUUUAAGGGAGCUGAAUCCCACAUGGCUGACCACAGCUUAAAUCUCAGCCCCAGGAGCCUGUAAAACACCAGGAGCAUGCUUGAAGGAGGGAGAAAUGAAGAAGGGAUUGUGACGCGACCCUGCCUCAUUGUGGGGUGCUAUUUCUAGUCUACAGAGUUUGGCAGGUGGUGGGGUGUUCGGUGCUUGCAGUAGUGGGACGACACGGAGUAGGGAUAGGCCAGACCUGCGUUUCCCACAUCUGACCAGGAGUUUCCUAGAAGCCAAGAGGAAGCUGGAAGAGGGCUGGACUCAAGCAGCCUUGAAGGGGCACCACCCGAGAAGGUGGCCAAGGAGGCAAGGGAACCCCAGUCCAGAAGCUGAAUGACGCUCCUCUGGAGAUACACCUUCAUAACGACCCAGA